AUAUGCUGGAUCUACUUGAAG
rnacentral:miRNA from 1 species